rnacentral:rRNA from 1 species
GAUUAACGCUGGCGGCGUGCAUAACACAUGCAAGUCGAACGAUGAAACUUUUUUGAUUUCUUCGGAAUGAAAAAAAGUGGAUUAGUGGCGGACGGGUGAGUAACGCGUGAGUAACCUGCCUUAGAGAAGGGGAUAGCCUUUGGAAACGAAGAAUAAUACCCUAUGAAACCAUAACCUCGCAUGAGGCCUUGGUCAAAGAUUUAUCGCUCUAAGAUGGACUUGCGUCUGAUUAGUUAGUUGGUGGGGUAACGGCCCACCAAGACAGCGAUCAGUAGCCGGCUUGAGAGAGUGUACGGCCACAUUGGGACUGAGACACGGCCCAGACUCCUACGGGAGGCAGCAGUGGGGAAUUUUGCACAAUGGGGGAAACCCUGAUGCAGCGACGCCGCGUGAUUUAGAAGGCCUUCGGGUUGUAAAAAUCUUUUCUAUGGGAAGAAAAUGACAGUACCAUAGGAAUAAGGACCGGCUAAUUACGUGCCAGCAGCCGCGGUAAUACGUAAGGUCCCAGCGUUGUCCGGAAUCAUUGGGCGUAAAGGGUACGUAGGCGGGUAAGCAAGUUAGAAGUGAAAUCCUAUAGCUCAACUAUAGUAAGCUUUUAAAACUGCUCAUCUUGAGGUAUGGAAGGGAAAGUGGAAUUCCUAGUGUAGCGGUGAAAUGCGCAGAUAUUAGGAGGAAUACCGGUGGCGAAAGCGACUUUCUGUCCAUAACCUGACUCUGAGGUACGAAAGCGUGGGUAGCUACAGGAUUAUAUACCCCGGUAGUCUAAGGGGGAAUUCCACAUUGGAUGUCAGCUUAUCGAUCCUCUCGACUCUAGGGGGGGGCCCGGCAGACCAAUCCUAUGUUCUCUUUAUUGAUGGUUAUUAUA